UGUAGUCGAACUAAGUCGGGUGAUGCUCAGGGAAUUAGAUUGGGAAAUGAGACGCUUAAAGUAGUGAAGGAGUUCUGCUAUUUGAGGAGCAAAAUAACUGAUGAUGGUAGACACUUCGUCCAGUGUUGCUGUAGCUUUUGAUACAAACUGGCAAAGGUUCAGAUUCAUCCUUGUCUUUACUUUCUUCACUUAUCGAUAUCGUCAAUUGAAGACCUCCUACGAUUCCAAUUUUUCUCGAAGUAAGUCCGUGCUCUGUUUACAUUGUAAAAUAUACUCAGCUGAAUAACUUUUGAUCUUUAACCUCCAGAAUUUUGCAGAUGGAACCAAGGGUAGAUAGUGGCCUCUGAGCUGUUUCUUUACUUAAUUCUGUGCCUUUGUUAAAUUACAUUAUCAUAGUGCAAGUUGGUCAUACAAUUUUGAUGCAAAAGUGAACCUGAAAACAUGAUAAAAUGUGGACGCCUCUGGAGAAAGCUCAGUGUGUGUGGCCCGGUAGAUACAGAUGAUACCUGAUGCCCAAAUUCAACGAACCUUUCAGACUUGGAAUACAUCAUUUAUGGAAACAGUGCUCAAAAGACAUUUACAGUGGGGUGUGCAGUUGAGAACAGUUCUCCAUCUACCCCUCAGCGCGCACCAGAAUUAUUCAAAGCGGGGCACUCUGCCAAUUCUAAGAAGCAGGCCAAAGAUGUCCUGGUAAGCAGCACAUUGUCAAUGCUGCGAGACAUACAAACAGCAAUGAAUGGGAGCAGUGAGGAUGACAAGUUGGGCCAAUAUGUUGCAGCUGAGCUGAUAACAACUAAAAAUAGAAAAUUGAAUGCAGAGGCAAAGUGCCUUAUCAUGAAAGCCAUCAUGGGUGCAAUUCAGAAAG